UACGUAGGGUGCGAGCGUUAAUCGGAAUUACUGGGCGUAAAGCGUGCGCAGGCGGUUUUGUAAGUCUGUCGUGAAAUCCCCGGGCUCAACCUGGGAAUUGCGAUGGAGACUGCAAGGCUAGAAUCUGGCAGAGGGGGGGUAGAAUUCCACGUGUAGCAGUGAAAUGCGUAGAGAUGUGGAGGAACACCGAUGGCGAAGGCAGCCCCCUGGGCCAAGAUUGACGCUCAUGCACGAAAGCGUGGGGAGCAAACAGG
rnacentral:rRNA from 1 species